CCUACGGGAGGCAGCAGUGGGGAAUAUUGGACAAUGGGCGAAAGCCUGAUGCAGCCAUGCCGCGUGUAUGAAGAAGGCCUUAGGGUUGUAAAGCUCUUUUACCCGGGAUGAUAAUGACAGUACCGGGAGAAUAAGCUCCGGCUAACUCCGUGCCAGCAGCCGCGGUAAU
rnacentral:rRNA from 1 species